CUGGCUCAGGAUGAACGCUAGCGGCAGGCUUAACACAUGCAAGUCGAGGGGCAGCAUGGGAGUAGCAAUACUUCUGAUGGCGACCGGCGCACGGGUGCGUAACGCGUAUGCAACCUACCUGUAACAGGGGGAUAACACUGAGAAAUCGGUACUAAUACCGCAUAACACUAUGAGAGGCAUCUCUUGUGGUUGAAAGUUUCGGCGGUUACAGAUGGGCAUGCGUUGUAUUAGCUGGUUGGUAAGGUAACGGCUUACCAAGGCGACGAUACAUAGGGGGACUGAGAGGUUAACCCCCCACAUUGGUACUGAGACACGGACCAAACUCCUACGGGAGGCAGCAGUGAGGAAUAUUGGUCAAUGGACGGAAGUCUGAACCAGCCAUGCCGCGUGCAGGAAGACGGCUCUAUGAGUUGUAAACUGCUUUUGUACAAGGGUAAACCUGAAUACGUGUAUUCAGCUGAAAGUAUUGUACGAAUAAGGAUCGGCUAACUCCGUGCCAGCAGCCGCGGUAAUACGGAGGAUCCAAGCGUUAUCCGGAUUUAUUGGGUUUAAAGGGUGCGUAGGCGGAUUGAUAAGUUAGAGGUGAAAUGUCCGAGCUCAACUCGGGAACUGCCUCUAAUACUGUUGAUCUAGAGAGUAGAUGCGGUAGGCGGAAUGUAUGGUGUAGCGGUGAAAUGCUUAGAGAUCAUACAGAACACCGAUUGCGAAGGCAGCUUACCAAUCUAUAUCUGACGUUGAGGCACGAAAGCGUGGGGAGCAAACAGGAUUAGAUACCCUGGUAGUCCACGCAGUAAACGAUGAUAGCUCGUUGUCGGCGAUACACAGUCGGUGACUAAGAGAAAUCGAUAAGCUAUCCACCUGGGGAGUACGUUCGCAAGAAUGAAACUCAAAGGAAUUGACGGGGGCCCGCACAAGCGGAGGAACAUGUGGUUUAAUUCGAUGAUACGCGAGGAACCUUACCCGGGCUUGAAAGUUAGUGACUGAUCCGGAAACAGGUCUUCCCUUCGGGGCACGAAACUAGGUGCUGCAUGGUUGUCGUCAGCUCGUGCCGUGAGGUGUCGGGUUAAGUCCCAUAACGAGCGCAACCCCUACUGAUAGUUGCCAUCAGGUCAAGCUGGGCACUCUAUCGGGACUGCCGGUGUAAGCCGGAGGAGGGUGGGGAUGACGUCAAAUCAGCACGGCCCUUACGUCCGGGGCGACACACGUGUUACAAUGGUAGGUACAGAGGGCCGCUACCCAGCGAUGGGGUGCAAAUCUCGAAAGCCUAUCUCAGUUCGGAUUGGAGGCUGAAACUCGCCUCCAUGAAGUUGGAUUCGCUAGUAAUCGCGCAUCAGCCAUGGCGCGGUGAAUACGUUCCCGGGCCUUGUACACACCGCCCGUCAAGCCAUGGGAGUUGGGGGUGCCUGAAGUUCGUGACCGCAAGGAGCGACCUAGGGCAAAACUAAUGACUGGGGCUAAGUCGUAACAAGG
rnacentral:rRNA from 1 species